rnacentral:rRNA from 2 species
UGCAAGUCGAACGAUGAUCCGGUGCUUGCACCGGGGAUUAGUGGCGAACGGGUGAGUAACACGUGAGUAACCUGCCCUUGACUCUGGGAUAAGCCUGGGAAACUGGGUCUAAUACCGGAUAUGACUCCUCAUCGCAUGGUGGGGGGUGGAAAGCUUUUGUGGUUUUGGAUGGACUCGCGGCCUAUCAGCUUGUUGGUGAGGUAAUGGCUCACCAAGGCGACCACGGGUAGCCGGCCUGAGAGGGUGACCGGCCACACUGGGACUGAGACACGGCCCAGACUCCUACGGGAGGCAGCAGUGGGGAAUAUUGCACAAUGGGCGCAAGCCUGAUGCAGCGACGCCGCGUGAGGGAUGACGGCCUUCGGGUUGUAAACCUCUUUCAGUAGGGAAGAAGCGAAAGUGACGGUACCUGCAGAAGAAGCGCCGGCUAACUACGUGCCAGCAGCCGCGGUAAUACGUAGGGCGCAAGCGUUAUCCGGAAUUAUUGGGCGUAAAGAGCUCGUAGGCGGUUUGUCGCGUCUGCCGUGAAAGUCCGGGGCUCAACUCCGGAUCUGCGGUGGGUACGGGCAGGCUAGAGUGAUGUAGGGGAGACUGGAAUUCCUGGUGUAGCGGUGAAAUGCGCAGAUAUCAGGAGGAACACCGAUGGCGAAGGCAGGUCUCUGGGCAUUAACUGACGCUGAGGAGCGAAAGCAUGGGGAGCGAACAGGAUUAGAUACCCUGGUAGUCCAUGCCGUAAACGUUGGGCACUAGGUGUGGGGGACAUUCCACGUUUUCCGCGCCGUAGCUAACGCAUUAAGUGCCCCGCCUGGGGAGUACGGCCGCAAGGCUAAACUCAAAGGAAUUGACGGGGCCCGCACAAGCGGCGGAGCAUGCGGAUUAAUUCGAUGCAACGCGAAGAACCUUACCAAGGCUUGACAUGGACCGGACCGCCGCA